rnacentral:lncRNA from 1 species
CAGCGCCCGGGUGGAAGGGGCGAGGAGGCGGGGGCGGCGGCGGCGGCGGCGGCCACCUGGCCCGGACCACCGCGGCCCGGAGGGCCGUGAACAAAGUGGUGUACGAUGACCACGGGAGCUAGGAGGAAGAGGACGGCGACGUCGAGGAGACCCAGGAGUCUGAGGACAACGAGGAGCAUGAGAUGGAGGAGGACGAGGCUGAUUCCGAUUAUCUGGAGGAGCUGGAAGACGACGACGACGCCAGUUACUGCACAGAAAGCAGCUUCAGGAGCCAUAGUACCUACAGCAGCACUCCAGGUACCCACCCAGCCCAGUUGCUGCAGACUCCUUCCCCACCUCCUCUGCCCUCCCCCCUUGCUCACUCGUGUGCUGUGCAUCCUGCUCCGAUCUCCCCCCAACCCCGCCUCCCCCCCAAACAGAGGGGAAAUGCGAGGGCACAUCAAGUGGCAAAAAACUAGAUUUACAAGAGGAAAGAGGCGCAUUGUUAAAAAUGGAGAUUGCAUUGUUGCAGUUUGCAGGCUACACUCGCUCGCUCUCUCUCUCCCCCCCAACCUCCUCUUUUUCCUCUUCAAAAUUUGUGCCAGUGCAGUGUCUCCACCGGGCAGGAUUGAAACUUUGGCAAACACGUAUCCAUUGCAUUCAUUUCUUUCCCCUUGUUUUGGUCUGGUUUUCUGGAAUGAAAGAAGCCUCUUGUUUUACAAACCUCUUUGCAUUUCUAAUGUGGUUUCUUUCAGAUUUUUAUUAGAUAUGUUACUUAAAAGGGAAUUAAGGGUUUGGACAGAUUGUGGCACACAAACACACACAAAAACAUGUCUGUUUUCACAUCCCUAGCUGUGGUUUUAAAAUUGUGUUAAGGAAAUGGAUCAUUUGGGUUAGUAGGGGAAUUUUAUCUGGUCCUGUAUGUUUGCUUUUAUUCUUCGAGUGCUAAUGGGCCUGUGCAACAGUUGCUGGUAAAUGGCUGAUUAAAAAGCAAAGCAGAAAGCCAAACAAGACCCACCCAACUUUGGUUAUUCAUUCGAUUCAAAAUUGUUUUUGGUUAAAUCAAAAAUGAAAGUACAAAACCGCAGGAACGCGCAUCUUAGCUCAUUUGAUCGCUUUGCCUUGCUUGGGAAAUGCAGUUUCGUGUCACCUGUUGCAGAAGAUAUGUAGUUGAUCAUCUAGACAUAAUUGCUGAAGAUAAACUUUUGGACCAACUUCUAAGUCACACAGCAUCAUUAUCAGAUUUAUUACACAACGACUUUUUUGUUUUCACUCUAUUUCUGAGGAAAAAGCCUUCCCGAAAUCCGUAAUGAAUUUCUCCAUGGUAACCCCUCUUCUGUUUUCACACAGAAAAGUUUCUCUAGACUGUUGCUAAGAUGCAUUUUGUUAAAUACCCCCCCCCCACAAAGGCUGCUUUGUAUUAAAUACGUAGUUGGAAUUUACUAAAUUGUGAAAUUAACGUAACCGAAGCAACAACCGGCAAGACUUUUCCUUUAUAAUUUUGCAAAUCUAGAUUAAUUAAAUUAGAAUCUGUUUUUAAAAGCAUUAAAAAAAUAAAGUUUAUGAGAAAAUACUUGUGAGGAAAAAGGACCCUUUUUUCCUUGAAGUAAGGUGUGUCAUGUCUUUCUCAGAGAGACUGCUGUAGUAGAAGUGGUUAACUUGAAAAGUUUCUGAUUUUUCAUAAAUGCUUACUUACUGGAGAAGUAGAGUAGUAUUAUCUUGAGCCAAAUAUAAACCUACGUAGGUUGUCCUAAUGAGAGGUGACACCGUGCUGGCAG